ACGGCCAUACCAUGCUGAAUAUACCGGUUCUCGUUAGAUCACCGAAGUCAAGCAUCAUUGGGCGCGGUCAGUACUUGGGACCUACCUGGGAACACCGCGUGCCGUU
rnacentral:rRNA from 1 species